rnacentral:rRNA from 2 species
GUCGAGCGAAGAGAUGGGAGCUUGCUCCCUGAUCUUAGCGGCGGACGGGUGAGUAACACGUGGGCAACCUGCCCUGCAGACUGGGAUAACUCCGGGAAACCGGAGCUAAUACCGGGUAAUACAUCGCACCGCAUGGUGCAAUGUUGAAAGUUGGCUUUCUGAGCUAACACUGCAGGAUGGGCCCGCGGCGCAUUAGCUAGUUGGUAAGGUAAUGGCUUACCAAGGCAACAAUGCGUACCCAACCUGAAAGGGUGAUCGGCCACCCUGGGACUGAAACACGGCCCAAACUCCUACGGGAGGCAGCAGUAGGGAAUCUUCCGCAAUGGACAAAAGUCUGACGGACCACCGCCCCGUGAGUGACAAAGGCCUUCGGGUCGUAAAGCUCUGUUGUUAGGGAAGAACAAGUACCGUUCGAAUAGGGCGGUACCUUGACGGUACCUAACCAAAAAGCCACGGUUAACUACUUGCCAGCAGCCGCGGUAAUACUUAGGUGGCAAGCGUUGUCCGGAAUUAUUGGGCGUAAAGCGCGCGCAGGCGGUCUUUUAAGUCUGAUGUGAAAGCCCACGGUUCACCCGUGAAGGGUCAUUGGAAACUGGAGGACUUGAGUGCAAAAAAGGAGAGUGGAAUUCCACGUGUAGCGGUGAAAUGCGUAAAUAUGUGGAGGAACACCAGUGGCGA